UGCAGAUCUGUAUGACAAAUGCUCUUCUCUUUCCAGAACCUACCCACAUUUCAGAAGGUCCUGCACAAAGAUCUGCAAUCCAGUCCCCCAAACAACCAGAAAUGACGCUCACUACAGAGGAACAGCUGCGCCGGCUGAAAGAGGAAAGGAUGUGUAAAGUCUGUAUGGACAAAGACUCGUCAAUGGUCUUCGUACCUUGUGGACACCUAGUGGUGUGCAUGGACUGCGCCCCUAAUCUCAGACAUUGUCCCAUUUGUCGGGCAACCAUCAGAGGCAGCAUGCGGGCAUUCAUGUCUUGAGCUGGCAGGGCAGGUUCAGCCUUGUCUUCAGCAUCCCUGGAUACAUCAAGCAUGAUCACCCCACGUGCAUCCAAUCACUGAACAAUGAGCUGGUCUCGUAAAGCGCCCAGUUCCUGCAGACUGGCAUCUCUGUACAGGACUACAAAAGGCAAUCUUUUCUGUCCAUAUUGGAAUGAGAGUGUGAGCUUUUUUUUAUACUUGAUUAUUGUUUUUAUCUUUCUAGUAGCUCUGUCUUUUGCAGUCCUGUGCUUUUUUUAUUUAAUGACAAUGGCUUCCUGUGGCCAACAUGUAUUUAUGAUGUGACAUUCAGCUAAUCUAUGAUGUGCUAUUGAAUAAAGUAUAUUUGGUUACAAAAUU